rnacentral:rRNA from 1 species
CGCAAUGGACGAAAGUCUGACGGAGCAACGCCGCGUGAGUGAUGAAGGCUUUCGGGUCGUAAAACUCUGUUGUUAGGGAAGAACAAGUACAAGAGUAACUGCUUGUACCUUGACGGUACCUAACCAGAAAGCCACGGCUAACUACGUGCCAGCAG